UACGUAGGCAGCGAGCGUUGUUCGGAAUUACUGGGCGUAAAGCGUGCGUAGACGGUGGCGUAAGUCGGGUGUGAAAGCCCCGGGCUCAACCUGGGAAUUGCAUUCGAGACUGUGCCGCUAGGGUGCGGAAGAGGGAAGCGGAAUUUCCGGUGUAGCGGUGAAAUGCGUAGAUAUCGGAAGGAACAUCAGUGGCGAAAGCGGCUUCCUGGUCCAGCACCGACGUUCAGGCACGAAAGCGUGGGGAGCAAACAGG
rnacentral:rRNA from 1 species